rnacentral:tRNA from 1 species
GCGGCUGUAGCUCAGUGGAUAGAGUAUCGGCCUCCGAAGCCAAGGGUCGUGGGUUCGAUCCCCGCCAGCCGCG